AAGUCGUAACAUGGUUUCCGUAGGUGGACCUGCGGAAGGAUUAUUAACACGUAUCCAACGUUAAGGGCUAAUCAACCCAACGCGGGUGUAGCCAAUUAACAGCAAUCUCUGCACUCCGUCGUAGGCAAUGGAAGGAGGAGAGACUUCUGAUUGGUAGCGUUACCCAAGAUAAUGCACGCUUGACCAAGGCGGUUAUUUUUCCCGAAGCAAUCAGUGAGUGAAAGUGCCAUUGCUUGUGUAAGGAUUUCGCUUGACGACGCUCACCGGCCGGUCCCCACCCCAAUUUUUACUACCGCUCCGCGCUUAACAGCGUGGCACUUAAGAAAAACGUACUAAACAACUGUUAACAAUGGAUAUCUUGGUUCUC
rnacentral:misc_RNA from 1 species